CAUAUGCUUGUCUCAAAGAUUAAGCCAUGCAUGUCUCAGUACAAGCCACAUUAAGGUGAAACCGCGAAAGGCUCAUUAAAUCAGUUAUGGUUCCUUAGAUCGUACCCACAUUUACUUGGAUAACUGUGGUAAUUCUAGAGCUAAUACAUGCAAACAGAGUUCCGACCGGAGACGGGAGGAAUGCUUUUAUUAGAUCAAAACCAAUCGGCGUCGGGCCUCGGUCCGUUCGCCGCUCAACUUGGUGACUCUGAAUAACUUUCGGCUGAUCGCACGGUCUCGCACCGGCGACGCAUCUUUCAAAUGUCUGCCUUAUCAACUGUCGAUGGUAGGUUCUGCGCCUACCAUGGUCGUAACGGGUAACGGGGAAUCAGGGUUCGAUUCCGGAGAGGGAGCCUGAGAAACGGCUACCACAUCCAAGGAAGGCAGCAGGCGCGCAAAUUACCCACUCCCGGCACGGGGAGGUAGUGACGAAAAAUAACGAUACGGGACUCAUCCGAGGCCCCGUAAUCGGAAUGAGUACACUUUAAAUCCUUUAACGAGGAUCAAUUGGAGGGCAAGUCUGGUGCCAGCAGCCGCGGUAAUUCCAGCUCCAAU
rnacentral:rRNA from 1 species